UAGAGGCGGGGAACUCAGCUGAUAGACAGCGACUACCCCGUAGUGACAUGAAGCAAAGGGGAAAACCACGACGUUAGGCCGCAUGCGUAAUGGCGUAGCAGAGGUGUGCUUAUAAAAUGGUGUGUGCUAUCAGCAGUAGAUUGUGGCUUCGGUGAGUUGCUAGAUGCAUAAAAUGCAUGUCAGAAUGUUGUAAUGGAGGAGUUGGAUGGAAGAGAGAGAAGAAAAGAUAUAUACCUCUGGGGUAGAGUGUCUUAUUUUGAUUGGGGAUCUGUGGAUGAACCUCUGGUGAAGGGGAGGAAACAUGGAAGUACCUGGUGCAAUAACUGAAAUUGGUUUCAAUACCAAUAGAUGAGACAGAUAGGAGGAGGAAAACUACUUUUCCUUUAAAAGCAACAGUUUUUCAAUACAAAUCGUUCGAUGACAACAGUUGUCUUUUGUCUGUAUAAUACAUUACUAAAUGCUGUUCAUUUCGCACGUUCACCAGUUUAUUUUCAUAUCAUCUGUCUGAUCUGUUUGCCACAUCUUUUGCUUGGUUUGUGCUUCAUGCUCAUGUUCCCUGAUCUCAUGGACUAAAAUUAAAGGAAAAUUCAGAUGGAGGGGUCGUGGUUUGCAAGUGGAAAAGACAGGAUGGAAAAGAUCACUCAUUUCUGACCCAAAGUACCUACCUGUAAUGUGUUUUUGUCGUUCGCCUUUGUCGGGGAUGCCAACUGUGGCGCAGCGUCGAUUGGGUUGAUGGGCCUCAAGUAAACCAGCUCCUGUAAGAGGCCUACGGCGCUCUCUAGUGGGCAACACUGGAAGCGCAAACUGCAACAAGUGUCACUUGGCUCAAGAUAAACAAACUCUUCUUUUGCUGCUCUAAGGGCAGCAUCACAUAAAAAUCCACCUUGGCGAGCACGGGAUCGCCCCAGGGCUGCGUACAGAGUCCCUUGUUGUUUUAUCGGCUUACUCGUGACUGCUCUGCCAGAUUUAACUACAGCCACAUCUUAAAGUUUGCUAAUGCAUCUAGCAUCACCAGAAUUCUCUCCCAUUCUUCCCACAACCCGUUUUCCCCCAUGGAGUCUGGACAGGAGCAUCCACGCAAGAACCACCAAGUUACUAAACACCUUUUUCCUCCCGGCACUCAGACUUUUGAACUCACUGUGUUCACAGCAGCCACAAUGCCUACCUCCACCCACCCACACACACACACACACACACAC
ensembl:lncRNA